rnacentral:lncRNA from 1 species
UAUAUAUAUACAAAUAUCAAAAAUAAAGAGAAAAUGAAGGGUAAUGCUACUUGCAUAGCAAGUACCACCGGAUUUUUGCAAUGGAAUUCUCCACUACCCUACCUCUAUGGCGGUCUCGGCCUAAUCUUGGGGCUCAUCACGGUGGCGUUACUCGUCCUCUCUUGCUCACCGGAAAAGCCAAAUGACAAAGAAGAAAAGCAAACAAAGACCACCAAUACGCUUACUACGGAGCCUAGUUUCCUCGUCGUCAUGCCCGGACAUGACAAUCCGACGUAUUUAGCCAAGCCAGUCUCUUCAAGCGGGCAUAUUCCCACUCAAGUUUGAGGUCAUUUGCAUUUUUUUUUCUUUUUCUUUUUUAAACACAAGUGCAAAAAUUGUAAUUAAUAUAUUUUUAGUGCAAAAAUUGUAAUAUAUUAUUUCCUCCCCUCAACACCGCCACCAAAAAAUGUCUAAAGUUCAACAAAAAUUAAAUUUAAAAUGUUAAAUUUGUUUUUUAGUGCGAAGGAGGCCUCCUAGCCAUUGAUUAAUAAAAUAAAGGUUCGUUACCUCUAGCAAUAUAUAUUGCUAGAAUUUUUAUAGGAGAAUCUCUGAUACUAAUAUUGUACAUGGACUAUUAUAACACAUUAUUUUGUAUGUAUUUUUAUGUGUUCAUAUUUUGUCACUAUUAUUGUGUAUGGACUAGACCUGGUAAAUGGUACUAGUGGCCGGAUGGGAUGCACAUCAGCUUGCAACUGCUGCAAACUGUCACCCCUUUUUCUUACUAACCGCGGUUGUUGCUUAAAUCUCCACCAAACUACAGCCUAUAAUUUGAGCAAUAUACGUCUCCGACAGAGAUUUGAGCAACAACCGUGAUGACUAAGAAAAAGGGACAGCAAUUUACAGCUGGUGCAAGUUGAUGUGCACCCGGUUAACUAAGUACAAUUUACUAGGUCUAGUCUAUACACUAAUGUUGGGGGUAUGAUUAUUUGAGUUCGGACGAUUCAGUGGGUCACAGUCUACUUGGAGGAAGUCUUCUCCAUAUAGGAGUUUAUUUUGGGCAAUUGAAGAACUUUAAGGAAUUUAAAAUUUCUAAUUAUAUUUAAUUUCCAACUUCUAAGGAAAGCGUUACGAUAAAAUUCGAUUUACUUUCUUUAAGGAGAUUCAAUUUUGUCCUAUUAAGGAAUCUAUCCUAAUGAGUAAUUCUAUUAUUAUAGGGAGAUAGACAUGUAGGAGAAUGUGUGAUCACUAUAAAUACAAGCCUAGCUACACCAUAAUUCUCAGUUAUCUCAAUAUUUUUCCGGCACUAAAGUUAAUACCUUCUUUGUUAAUUUUAUUCAGUCUGUACUUAUUCUCACACCGGAGCUAUAUAUCCCCCGGCUGCUCGAGCAUUCAAGUUUCUCUGUGUGACUUCGUUUCUGUGUAGGAUUGGACGCACUAUGUCAAUUGAGGUGUGUUGACGAAUUUUGACGUUAACAUUGACACUAAAAGGAAGACAUCUUAGUCCUAAGUGUUUUCAAUCACUCAAAAAUUUGAUCAAAAAUAAUGGCGACUAAUAAGACGGAUUCCGGACGAGGAAAAUCAACGACCAACCUUUCUCAACCUAAGGGCUCGGUCAAGGAUAGGUUGGGGCCAUCCAAAAACAUCUCGGACAGUUGAACCUACACAUGAAUGGUGCAUGCUCCGAUAGAUAUACCAUAUUAAAGCAUCCAACUCAAAACUAAUUGACAUUAAUGAUCAGUGGAAUAGCUUCUCAAAUUAUAUAUUAAAUCUCCGGGUCUUAAAUAUUGUCCGAUGUAUAAAUACUUUUAUAUCUCAAUAGAAUCUCCUGAAGAAAAAGAAGAGAGCAAUCACACAUGUUUGUUAUGACUAGAUGAGGUUGGAAUGUGAUGUGAUGAGUCGACAAGAAGAAGAAGUGGGUCCAGCAAGAGGCUCAUUUGGUAGAAGAAUGGCUCUUUCAUGAAGUAUACGGGAGCUUCUUUCCUUUCAAAGUCAGCUCUUCCUCUAUAAGGAAAACAAAGAAACUCACCUACAUGUACAUGGUACGAAAAAUCACAUUAAAUGGG